CCUACGGGUGGCAGCAGUGGGGAAUAUUGCACAAUGGGGGGAACCCUGAUGCAGCAACGCCGCGUGGGUGAAGAAGUACUCCGGUAUGUAAAGCCCUGUCAGCAGGGAAGAAAAUGACGGUACCUGACCAAGAAGCCCCGGCUAACUACGUGCCAGCAGCCGCGGUAAUACGUAGGGGGCAAGCGUUAUCCGGAUUUACUGGGUGUAAAGGGAGCGUAGACGGCAAGGCAAGUCUGGAGUGAAAGCCCGGGGCCCAACCACGGGACUGCUUUGGAAACUGUGUUGCUGGAGUGCAGGAGGGGUAAGCGGAAUGCCUGGUGUAGCGGUGAAAUGCGUAGAUAUUAGGAGGAACACCGGUGGCGAAGGCGGCUUACUGGACUGUAACUGACGUUGAGGCUCGAAGGCGUGGGGAGCAAACAGGAUUAGAUACCCCUGUAGUC
rnacentral:rRNA from 1 species